rfam:Triticum aestivum genome assembly, contig: Triticum_aestivum_CS42_TGACv1_scaffold_031275_1BL
CUUAUACUCCCUCCGUCCGAAAAAGCUUGUCCCUCAAAUGGAUGUAUCUAUGCUAGAUACAUCCAUUUGAGGGACAAGCUGCAUAGAUACAUCCAUUUGAGGGACAAGCUUUCACGGACGGAGGGAGUAUUUA